rfam:Schistosoma rodhaini strain Burundi genome assembly, scaffold: SROB_scaffold0008019
AUCUAACUGACGAGUCCCAAAUAAGACGAAACGUGCAUCUUAGAU